rnacentral:misc_RNA from 1 species
UUGAUAAUGUAGCUUAUGCUAUCAUUAAACAUGUGCACCGUUACUGCCAUUUGGCGGCCGAAAGGUCGUCGUCUGGCCCCAAUUUUUAAUUUACUAGCAACUUUUUGUACCAGUAAUCAUAAAAUCUUAUGA